rnacentral:rRNA from 1 species
AUUGAACGCUGGCGGCAUGCUUUACACAUGCAGGUCGAACGGUAACAGGUUAAGCUGACGAGUGGCGAACGGGUGAGUAAUGCAUCGGAACGUGCCCGGUCGUGGGGGGUAACGCAGCGAAAGUUGCGCUAAUACCGCAUACGAUCUGAGGAUGAAAGCGGGGGACCGUAAGGCCUCGCGCGAUCGGAGCGGCCGAUGUCAGAUUAGGUAGUUGGUGGGGUAAAGGCUCACCAAGCCAACGAUCUGUAGCUGGUCUGAGAGGACGACCAGCCACACUGGGACUGAGACACGGCCCAGACUCCUACGGGAGGCAGCAGUGGGGAAUUUUGGACAAUGGGCGAAAGCCUGAUCCAGCAAUGCCGCGUGCAGGAAGAAGGCCUUCGGGUUGUAAACUGCUUUUGUACGGAGCGAAAAGGUCUCCUCUAAUACAGGGGGCUCAUGACGGUACCGUAAGAAUAAGCACCGGCUAACUACGUGCCAGCAGCCGCGGUAA